rnacentral:rRNA from 1 species
GAGUUUGAUCCUGGCUCAGGACGAACGCUGGCGGCGUGCUUAACACAUGCAAGUCGAACGGUGAUGUCAGAGCUUGCUCUGGCGGAUCAGUGGCGAACGGGUGAGUAACACGUGAGUAACCUGCCCCCGACUCUGGGAUAACUGCUAGAAAUGGUAGCUAAUACCGGAUAUGACGAUUGGCCGCAUGGUCUGGUCGUGGAAAGAAUUUCGGUUGGGGAUGGACUCGCGGCCUAUCAGGUUGUUGGUGAGGUAAUGGCUCACCAAGCCUACGACGGGUAGCCGGCCUGAGAGGGUGACCGGCCACACUGGGACUGAGACACGGCCCAGACUCCUACGGGAGGCAGCAGUGGGGAAUAUUGCACAAUGGGCGAAAGCCUGAUGCAGCAACGCCGCGUGAGGGAUGACGGCCUUCGGGUUGUAAACCUCUUUUAGUAGGGAAGAAGCGAAAGUGACGGU